rnacentral:lncRNA from 1 species
AGCAACACCACACCCUCCUGAUCACCAUAGCUUUAUGCAACAACAAGAAACAAAUUUAUUAGCUAACCUAACCACUAAUGAGGCAAGUGGCAAUUCUAAGGACUUUCAAAACAGCAAAGUAGGAGCAGCUGCUACCUCUAGGGAUGUGGGAGGAACUCAAAAAUGGGUACAAAAACCAUUGCAGGAAAAGUGACUGGGUAUGUGCAUAGCAUCAGGAGAUGUGCAUAGUGUCAAAGUAUCUCAUCACACAUUACUUGAUAAUUACAAAGGAGAAAAGUGAACCUUCACAGUGGCAAGACUUGACUUCUACCUCUUUCAAAGAGAAGCAAUUGUCCAAUUAUUAGUGAAAUUGUCAUUUCAUGCUAUCGGCUAUUUGAAAUUCCUCCUCUAAUUUCAGAUUAACUCACUGAAAUUGACAUCGGCC